AGUGGCGAACGGGUGAGUAACACGUGGGUGACCUGCCCUGCACUUCGGGAUAAGCCUGGGAAACUGGGUCUAAUACCGGAUAGGACCGGCACCGUGAGGGUGUGGUGGAAAGUUUUUUCGGUGUGGGAUGGGCCCGCGGCCUAUCAGCUUGUUGGUGGGGUAAUGGCCUACCAAGGCGGCGACGGGUAGCCGGCCUGAGAGGGUGGACGGCCACAUUGGGACUGAGACACGGCCCAGACUCCUACGGGAGGCAGCAGUGGGGAAUAUUGCACAAUGGGCGGAAGCCUGAUGCAGCGACGCCGCGUGGGGGAUGACGGCCUUCGGGUUGUAAACUCCUUUCACCAUCGACGAAGGGUUUCUGACGGUAGAUGGAGAAGAAGCACCGGCUAACUACGUGCCAGCAGCCGCGGUAAUACGUAGGGUGCGAGCGUUGUCCGGAAUUACUGGGCGUAAAGAGCUCGUAGGUGGUUUGUCGCGUCGUCUGUGAAAUUCCGGGGCUUAACUCCGGGCGUGCAGGCGAUACGGGCAUAACUUGAGUACUGUAGGGGAGACUGGAAUUCCUGGUGUAGCGGUGAAAUGCGCAGAUAUCAGGAGGAACACCGGUGGCGAAGGCGGGUCUCUGGGCAGUAACUGACGCUGAGGAGCGAAAGCAUGGGGAGCGAACAGGAUUAGAUACCCUGGUAGUCCAUGCCGUAAACGGUGGGCGCUAGGUGUGGGUUUCCUUCCACGGGAUCCGUGCCGUAGCUAACGCAUUAAGCGCCCCGCCUGGGGAGUACGGCCGCAAGGCUA
rnacentral:rRNA from 1 species